UAUGCUAAAUUGUAGUUUAUGCUUGUCUUUGUUACAACUACUGCUGAUUGGUUUGUAAAUUUCUCAGACAAUGCCAGCUAUAUAUUUACCCAUAUGUGUCCUGUGACUUAUUAAGGGAGCCCGUUGUUUUUGGGGAAAACCAUAUCCUCUUCUUUUUCAUCUACACUCUCAAUACACAUAUACAAACCUAGAGACAGAAAGGCGAUGUCGGUGGUGAUGAAGACACCGAUGGUGGCGAUGCUAGAUCAUCGGUAGUCGCCGGAAUCGAAACACCAUCUUUUGUCUGUUUUUGAGCAGUUGAUUUUUGUAUAUUUGCUUGCAUUUUACCUAUUUCGUCAGCCGCAGCCGCAAGCUUUUCUGACGAGCCACCGUCGUAAUGUGUGCAACUAUUCAAGUGGCAAACUUACUCCACUAUGCUUUUACUGCACUGAUGCUGAUGUUUCUAAGGCAAG